AGAGGUAGCAAUACCUCCUAGAGCGGCGGACUGGUGAGUAGCGCGUGGGUGAUCUGCCUCUGGAUUGGGGAUAGCCUAUGGAAACAUGGGAUAAUACCGAAUACGCUUGCCGGACUGUAGUCUGGCAAGGAAAGGUCCUUCGGGACCGUCCGGAGAUGAGCCUGCGUCAGAUUAGCUUGUUGGCGGGGUAAUGGCCCACCAAGGCGAUGAUCUGUAGCCGGCCUGAGAGGGUGUACGGCCACACUGGGACUGAGAUACGGCCCAGACUCCUACGGGAGGCAGCAGCUAAGAAUAUUCCGCAAUGGACGAAAGUCUGACGGAGCGACGCCGCGUGGAUGACGAAGGCCGUGAGGUUGUAAAAUCCUUUUGUCGGGGAAGAAUAAGCGUGGGAGGGAAUGCCCGCGUGAUGACAUGAACCGAUGAAUAAGCCCCGGCUAACUACGUGCCAGCAGCCGCGGUAACACGUAGGGGGCAAGCGUUGUUCGGAAUUAUUGGGCGUAAAGGGCAUGUAGGCGGUUCUGUAAGUCUGGUGUGAAAUGGUUCGGCUUAACCGAAUCCUGCAUCGGAAACUGCGGGACUUGAAUCACUGAGGGGGAGAUAGAAUUCCAGGUGUAGGGGUGAAAUCUGUAGAUAUCUGGAAGAAUACCGGUGGCGAAGGCGAUCUCCUGGCAGAUGAUUGACGCUGAGGUGCGAAAGUGCGGGGAGCAAACAGGAUUAGAUACCCUGGUAGUCCGCACGGUAAACGAUGUACACUAGGUGUUGGAGCGGAUGCUUCAGUGCCGGAGCUAACGUGUUAAGUG
rnacentral:rRNA from 1 species